UUAUAUGCCACCGGCACGGAGGCCAAAAUUUGCUAAAAUUUAAUCACCAUUUAGAUGUGGUGGCUACUGUAGUCUGAGUGGAGUUACAUCCUUGCUUUUGUAAAUUUGUUACAGGAAGAUGCUAAAGAUGAAAAAAGUGAAGAAGAUAAAAAGAAAGAAAAGGAAGAAAGUGAAACUAUUUUGGAAAAUGAGGAGAAAGAUAAAAAUUCCCGGACGUGUUUGAUCCUGUGAAAAGAAGGUUCCAGGGAACAGCACCACCACCAACAACAACAACAAACAUGCAAAUUGUAAAAUAUUUUAAAGGACUACUUUUAGUUGUGUACAUAACUUUUUUCUAAUUCUAAAUUAUUGCCUUGUAACAUUUUGUCUCCCUGUUGUAGAGAUUGACAUCUUUUACAAAGUCUUCAAGAGAUUCUGGCCCCCAAAGACUUCUCAGAUGUAUUGGCAGAAUUAGUAGAGUGCCAGAUAAAAUACUGGAUGGGAUUUGGCUAUAAACCUUCAGGUGAUAGGUUCAAAUUGUGUGCAAGUUAACUUUAGACCUUCCUUAUUCCAACAUUGCUAAAAUAGACACCAGACAAACAGUGGAGUUGAUAUAACCAAUUGGAACGGCCAUGGUGCUGGUGCCACGUAGAAAACAUUCAGCCCAUUCUGUAAAGUGGUUGGCAUUAGGAAGGACAUCUGGCUGUAGAAACCAUGACAAAACAGACAAUGGGACCUGGUGUGGCUGCUGACCUUACCAGUUCUUGUCAAACUGUCCAACCCAUGCCAGCAUGGAAAAAGGGACAUUAAAUGAUGAUGAUGACAAUUGAAGAACUGGAAGCAACAAAAACAUCCAACAGCAAUUACAGAAAGUUUGAAAGGAAAUAGUGGAAUAUCAGCAU